rnacentral:rRNA from 1 species
AUUGAACGCUGGCGGCAUGCCUUACACAUGCAAGUCGAACGGCAGCACGGGAGCAAUCCUGGUGGCGAGUGGCGAACGGGUGAGUAAUAUAUCGGAACGUGCCCGGUCGUGGGGAUAACGUAGAGAAAUUUACGCUAAUACCGCAUACGAUCUAAGGAUGAAAGCGGGGGAUUCGCAAGAACCUCGCGCGAUUGGAGCGGCUGAUAUCAGAUUAGGUUGUUGUGNGGUAAAGCUCACCAAGCCGACGAUCUGUAGCUGGUUUGAGAGAACGACCAGCCACACUGGGACUGAGACACGGCCCAGACUCCUACGGGAGGCAGCAGUGGGGAAUAUUGGACAAUGGGCGAAAGACCUGAUCCAGCAAU